rnacentral:rRNA from 1 species
AUGCGCAUUAUCAACCCGGUCACUGGCGAGCAGCGCGUGCUCCCAGCCAUCACCACCAUUCCCUGCCUCUUUGAGCAGCAUGGACACUUCGUGCUCGACCUGAAGCGCUUCGGUAGAGCCCCACUGCACCCCGUCUACGACAACUACCCGUCUGACUGGACGCAUAUGAUCAUUGUCCAGAGCAUGUGUGCCAAGAACAUGCGCUCCUUCUGCCGCAAGGUCGUCCUCUCCAACUCCCCGCCAUGCCCUGCUGCCAUGAUGAUCACAGGCACCCAGUUUGGCUUUGUGGCCUUUGCCACGGCAAGACGGUUCGAUCACAUACUCCGGCCAAGUGGAGGCAUGGGAACACGACGCCGAUGA